GGCCUCCUGGUAUGUACCACAGGGUAAGUUUCUACACUGAUAAUGCAGGAAGAGGCAGAGCACAACCAUCCGUAUGCACCCCAACCCAGGUUCUGUGUCUAGUCUGAAUUGUGCACGGGGGAACAUGC
ensembl:snoRNA